GGGGGUAUAGCUCAGUGGUAGAGCAUCAGAUUGCAGAUCUGAGGGUCCGUUGUUCGAGCCAGCGUGCUCCCU
rnacentral:tRNA from 1 species